GAUAUUUGAGUACAUACCUUUUGAUGGAGAGUUUUUACUUUUAAGAGCACAACAACCAAAAUCCAAAAUGAUAAUAUAACUUCACAAUCUAAAUGCACAAUCAAAAUUGGGAAAAAGUGCAUAAUUUCAACAUAAACCCAUCCUCCAAAUAGUUACUAAUUUGUCAACAAUGGAUUACCUUGUGCUGCAAGUAACAAUCCCACAUAAAGCCAGAAAUUAUGAACUAGUUUGGAAAUAUACCAACAAUGGCUCUCUAAGCUUGAAGGAUGCCUACAACUUUAAGUCUCAUCAUCUCCAAGAGGUUAGAUAGGGCAAGAUCUUGUGGUCCAUUCAUAUUCCUCCUUCAAAAUCUCUGCUUUCUUGAAGGUUGAUGCAAGAGGUUAAGGCAACCAAGAGUGAAGAGUUUAGCCUUACCUAUAAUCUUGGUGUGCUAGAACUAUGAAUCAAUUCCUUUGUCUAUGUGCAAAUGACAAAAAGUUUGAGAGAUCACAUUUUUCGAACUAUGUUUCCUAGAUUUUUGAGAAAUCAAACACUCAUUGAAAUUAAACAUAUAAAUUACUACGAAUUAAACCAGCUCAAUUUGUGAUUAU
rnacentral:lncRNA from 1 species